rnacentral:rRNA from 1 species
UAACGCGAAGAACCUUACCAGGUCUUGACAUCCCGUUGACCACUGUAGAGAUAUAGUUUCCCCUUCGGGGGCAACGGUGACAGGUGGUGCAUGGUUGUCGUCAGCUCGUGUCGUGAGAUGUUGGGUUAAGUCCCGCAACGAGCGCAACCCUUGAUCUUAGUUGCCAUCAUUUAGUUGGGCACUCUAAGGUGACUGCCGGUGACAAACCGGAGGAAGGUGGGGAUGACGUCAAAUCAUCAUGCCCCUUAUGACCUGGGCUACACACGUGCUACAAUGGACGAUACAAACGGUUGCCAACUCGCGAGAGGGAGCUAAUCCGAUAAAGUCGUUCUCAGUUCGGAUUGUAGGCUGCAACUCGCCUACAUGAAGCCGGAAUCGCUAGUAAUCGCGGAUCAGCAUGCCGCGGUGAAUACGUUCCCGGGUCUUGUACACACCG